rnacentral:miRNA from 1 species
UGAUACAAUCUAGGUUAUAGGGUC